GACGAACGCUGGCGGCGUGCUUAACACAUGCAAGUCGAACGCUGAAGCUUGGUGCUUGCACUGGGUGGAUGAGUGGCGAACGGGUGAGUAAUACGUGAGUAACCUGCCCUUGACCCUGGGAUAAGCCUGGGAAACUGGGUCUAAUACUGGAUACGACAUGUCACCGCAUGGUGGUGUGUGGAAAGGGUUUUACUGGUUUUGGAUGGGCUCACGGCCUAUCAGCUUGUUGGUGGGGUAAUGGCUCACCAAGGCGACGACGGGUAGCCGGCCUGAGAGGGUGACCGGCCACACUGGGACUGCGACACGGCCCAGACUCCUACGGGAGGCAGCAGUGGGGAAUAUUGCACAAUGGGCGGAAGCCUGAUGCAGCGACGCCGCGUGAGGGAUGACGGCCUUCGGGUUGUAAACCUCUUUCAGCACGGAAGAAGCGAAAGUGACGGUACGUGCAGAAGAAGCGCCGGCUAACUACGUG
rnacentral:rRNA from 1 species